GGGCCCGCACAAGCGGUGGAGUAUGUGGUUUAAUUCGAUGCAACGCGAAGAACCUUACCAGGGCUUAAAUGCAGAACGACCGGCGUGGAAACAUGCCUUUCUUCGGACGGACUGCAAGGUGCUGCAUGGUCGUCGUCAGCUCGUGCCGUGAGGUGUCGGGUUAAGUCCCAUAACGAGCGCAACCCCUAUCUUUAGUUGCCAGCGGAUAAUGCCGGGGACUCUAGAGAAACUGCCAGCGUAAGCUGUGAGGAAGGUGGGGAUGACGUCAGAUCAUCACGGCCCUUACGUCCUGGGCUACACACGUGCUACAAUGGCAAGGACAAUGAGCUGCCAACCCGCGAGGGUGAGCAAAUCUUCAAACCUUGUCUCAGUUCGGAUCGGAGUCUGCAACUCGACUCCGUGAAGUUGGAAUCGCUAGUAAUCG
rnacentral:rRNA from 1 species